UUUCAGCUCCGGAUGCAUCUUGCACACCAUCCCUUUCACGCCAUAGGGAUGGUUUAAUGGUUGCUGAUAUGGAUCUCAACCUCUGUAGGCAAGUGAAGGACAAAUGGGGUUUCAGAAUGACUGCCCGUUAUGAACUAUAUGCCGAAUUGCUUUCUCAGUACUUGAAACCAGAUUUUGCUCCCCAAGUUGUUGUCGACCCUCUGUUGCAUUAGUGAGCAUGGAUGGAAG
rnacentral:misc_RNA from 1 species